UACGAAGGGGGCUAGCGUUGCUCGGAAUCACUGGGCGUAAAGGGUGCGUAGGCGGGUCUUUAAGUCCGGGGUGAAAUCCUGGAGCUCAACUCCAGAACUGCCUUUGAUACUGAGGAUCUUGAGUUCGGGAGAGGUGAGUGGAGCUGCGAGUGUAGAGGUGAAAUUCGUAGAUAUUCGCAAGAACACGAGUGGCGAAGGCGGCUCACUGGCCCGAUACUGACGCUGAGGCACGAAAGCGUGGGGAGCAAACAGG
rnacentral:rRNA from 1 species